rnacentral:rRNA from 1 species
CCUACGGGAGACAGCAGUGAGGAAUAUUGGUCAAUGGGCGGGAGCCUGAACCAGCCAAGUCGCGUGAGUGACGAAGGUCCUAUGGAUUGUAAACCUCUUUUGUCGGGGAACAAAGGCGCCCACGGGUGGGCGGAUGAGAGUACCCGGAGAAACAGCAUCGGCUAACUCCGGGCCAGCAGCCGCGGGAAUACGGAGGAUGCGAGCGUUAUCCGGAUUUAUUGGGUUUAAGGGGUGUGUAGGCGUAUCGUUAAGUCAGUGGUAAAAUUGAGGGGCUCAACCCCUUCCCGCCAUUGAAAAUGGCGCUCUUGAGUGGAAGAGAAGUAUGCGGAAUGCGUGGUGUAGCGGUGAAAUGCAUAGAUAUCACGCAGAACCCCGAUUGCGAAGGCAGCAUGCCGGCUUCCGACUGACGCUGAAGCACGAAAGCGUGGGGAUCGAACAGGAUUAGAUACCCUAGUAGUC